GGAGGCCAUUGCCAAAAGAAGGUUAUUAGACUACAUGGACAAAUAGUCUUUUCUGCGUCUGUACAACAGCUGAGGCAUAGGCUGACAUUCUGCAUCUAAAGGAAAGGAGGUUACAAGAAAUGGGCAGCAAAUAGCCAAAGAACAAAAACCUGAAGAAGCAAAGAACUAAAAAGGAGCAGCAAGCAUCAUGAUUGGCAGCUGGGAGCACCGCCUAGCCAUUUAACACCCUCUGGAGCUCGGGUUUGUAGGCCAGUCAACAGUUCUGCUGUGGCAGGAUUUGAAGCCAGAAUUCAAAAGAAGAAGUUUGGAAAACAGCAACGCACAAGGUUAUAAAACAUCACAACAUGCAAUGUAAAGGAAAUCUUUUCUCAUUCCCCUCUUUCUCUUUUCUUCAUCUUACACAAACCUUUAUGAGGAAAAGUGAGUACCCAUCAUCCAUUGUUUUGCCAUCAUUAAAUUAAAAUGCUUUUAAGAAACACUACUUGGACAAACCAAACCAAAUUAACCUGCUAAUUACACAUGCCGUGAAUGCAUGUACUACAUUAUGCUUCCAUUUGCUAUGAAAAAAAAAUGCAAUGUCAAUCCCCAGACAGGCAAGUACAGAGGUAAUGCAGCUUUACUUUGGUGUAUUUCCUUGAGCUGCAAGGGGACAAAUAACAUGCAGUUCUGUGCAUAAGCACUUGAGGGAUACAGUCCUUCCUUUUCUGUAAUAAAACAGUUACAUAUUCUGAGAUGCAUCAAAAGCUCCUAUCUACUUGCAGUUAAUCAAAUGUUCU